rnacentral:rRNA from 1 species
CAAUAGCGUAUAUUUAAGUUGUUGCAGUUAAAAAGCUCGUAGUUGGAUUUCGGUUAAGAGCGACCGGUCCGCCGUUUGGUGUGCACUGGUUGGUUUUAACUUCCUGUAGAGGACGUGCUCUGGGUUUAACGACCUGGACUCGGAGUCUACGUGGUUACUUUGAAAAAAUUAGAGUGUUCAAAGCGGGCUUACGCUUGAAUAUUUCAGCAUGGAAUAACACUAUAGGACUCCUGUCCUAUUUCGUUGGUCUCGGGGCGGGAGUAAUGAUUAAGAGGAACAGUUGGGGGCAUUCGUAUUUCAUUGUCAGAGGUGAAAUUCUUGGAUUUAUGAAAGACGAACUUCUGCGAAAGCAUUUGCCAAGGAUGUUUUCAUUA